UGAGGUUAAGUUAACAAGGGCGCAUGGUGAAUGCCUUGGCACUAGGAGCCGAUGAAGGACGGGACUAACACCGAUAUGCUUCGGGGAGCUGUACGUAAGCUAUGAUCCGGAGAUUUCCGAAUGGGGCAACCCAGCAGUUUUAAUCAACUGUUACCACUAGAUGAAUUCAUAGUCUAGUUGGAGGUAAACGCUGUGAACUGAAACAUCUCAUUAGCAGCAGGAAUAUAAAGAAAUUUCGAUUCCCUAAGUAGCGGCGAGCGAACGGGGAACAGCCCAAACCAAAGUGCUUGCACUUUGGGGUUGUAGGACUGAACAUUUGAGUUACCAAAGAACUUGAUAGUCGAAGGAUUUGGGAAAAUCCGCCAUAGAUGGUGAUAGCCCAGUAGAUUAAAUCAAAUUCUCUCAGUUCAGGAUCCUGAGUACGGCGGAACACGUGAAAUUCCGUCGGAAUCCGGGAGGACCAUCUCCCAAGGCUAAAUACUACCUAGUGACCGAUAGUGAACCAGUACCGUGAGGGAAAGGUGAAAAGCACCCCGGGAGGGGAGUGAAAUAGUUCCUGAAACCAUGUGCCUACAAUAAGUCAGAGCGCGUUAAUGCGUGAUGGCGUGCCUUUUGUAGAAUGAACCGGCGAGUUAUGAUCCCGUGCAAGGUUAAGACUAAAAAGUCGGAGCCGUAGCGAAAGCGAGUCUGAAAUGGGCGCUUUGAGUACGAGGUUAUAGACCCGAAACCAGGUGACCUAUCCAUGUCCAGGUUGAAGGUGCGGUAAAACGCACUGGAGGACCGAACCCGUGUAAGUUGAAAAUUGCUGGGAUGAGGUGUGGAUAGCGGUGAAAUUCCAAACGAACUUGGAGAUAGCUGGUUCUCUCCGAAAUAGCUUUAGGGCUAGCCUCGGAAUUAGGAUCAUGGAGGUAGAGCACUAUUUGGACUAGGGGCCCGUCUUGGGUUACUGAAUUCAGAUAAACUCCGAAUGCCAUUGAUUCAUAUCCGGGAGUCAGACGAUGAGUGAUAAGAUCCACCGUCGAAAGGGGAACAGCCCAGACCAUCAGUUAAGGUCCCUAAAUGUAUGCUAAGUGGAAAAGGAUGUGGAGUUGCAUAGACAACUAGGAUGUUGGCUCAGAAGCAGCC
rnacentral:rRNA from 1 species